UCAGGAUGAACGCUGGCGGCGUGCCUAAUACAUGCAAGUCGAGCGAACAGAUAAGGAGCUUGCUCCUUUGACGUUAGCGGCGGACGGGUGAGUAACACGUGGAUAACCUACCUAUAAGACUGGGAUAACUUCGGGAAACCGGAGCUAAUACCGGAUAAGAUUUUGAACCGCAUGGUUCAAUAGUGAAAGACGGCCUUGCUGUCACUUAUAGAUGGAUCCGCGCCGUAUUAGCUAGUUGGUAAGGUAACGGCUUACCAAGGCAACGAUACGUAGCCGACCUGAGAGGGUGAUCGGCCACACUGGAACUGAGACACGGUCCAGACUCCUACGGGAGGCAGCAGUAGGGAAUCUUCCGCAAUGGGCGAAAGCCUGACGGAGCAACGCCGCGUGAGUGAUGAAGGUCUUCGGAUCGUAAAACUCUGUUAUCAGGGAAGAACAAACGUGUAAGUAACUGUGCACGUCUUGACGGUACCUGAUCAGAAAGCCACGGCUAACUACGUGCCAGCAGCCGCGGUAAUACGUAGGUGGCAAGCGUUAUCCGGAAUUAUUGGGCGUAAAGCGCGCGUAGGCGGUUUUUUAAGUCUGAUGUGAAAGCCCACGGCUCAACCGUGGAGGGUCAUUGGAAACUGGAAAACUUGAGUGCAGAAGAGGAAAGUGGAAUUCCAUGUGUAGCGGUGAAAUGCGCAGAGAUAUGGAGGAACACCAGUGGCGAAGGCGACUUUCUGGUCUGUAACUGACGCUGAUGUGCGAAAGCGUGGGGAUCAAACAGGAUUA
rnacentral:rRNA from 1 species